CGUACGGAGAAGAUUUUCUGGUUAGUCAAACAAUUUCACUAAACCAAUGGUUUUAUCUUAUAUUAAUGGUGGCGCCUACACUCUUAAAGGCGGCGAAAAUCGCCGGCGAUCGAAGAAAGCUUCACUCGCGACGAACCUUCACGGAGACGUCGAGGCUACCGCUGUCGUCUUUGAUUAGAGGAAAGCUGAUAUCCGCCGGCUACACUUCUCUGUCGUCGAUUUCAUCCACCGAUCUCGCUCGAGAGGCUGAAGCGUUUGAGAUUUUGAAGAUGGCAAAUCAAGUCGCUGGAUCAAGUUCUCUCGUAAAUGUGUUUAACACAGGUCGGCUUCUACGUUUCAGUCGUCUUCCAACUUUGAGCAUCUUCCCCAAAUUUUCACCUCUUUCUGCUCUCAUGGAUGCAUCGAAUCUCGGUUCUUCCAGCAAACCUGCCUUCUCUUCCUUCUCACAAUCCAGCAGAAGCGGCGGUAGAGGAAGAGGAAACGAGAGAGAUAAUGAUCGUCGGAGGCCUCAGGGUCGUGGCGGCGGCGGUGGUGGCAGAGGAGGAGAAGGAGGCAAUGAUAGAAUCGAUGCUCUUGGAAGACUCUUGACGAGAAUCUUGAGACACAUGGCUACUGAGAUGAGAUUGGACAUGAGAGGUGAUGGUUUUGUUAAAGUUGAAGACUUGCUUAACCUGAAUCUUAAAACGUCUGCAAACGUUCAGUUGAAGUCUCAUACCGUUGAUGAAAUUAGAGAGGCAGUGAGAAGGGACAAUAAGCAACGUUUUAGCCUCGUUGAAGAGGAUGGAGAGCUCUUGAUCCGCGCUAACCAAGGCCACUCCAUCACGACGGUUGAAUCCGACAAGUUACUUAAACCAAUAUUGUCACCGGAAGAAGCUCCAGUGUGUGUGCAUGGAACUUAUAAGAAGAAUUUGGAAUCCAUCUUAGCAUCUGGCUUAAAGCGUAUGAAUAGGAUGCACGUUCACUUUUCUUGUGGCUUGCCAACAGAUGGUGAAGUGAUAAGUGGCAUGAGAAGGGAUGUUAACGUCCUAAUCUUCCUUGACAUCAAGAAAGCUCUUGAAGAUGGAAUUGCAUUCUACAUUUCGGACAACAAGGUGAUUUUGACUGAAGGCGUUGAUGGUGUAGUGCCUGUUGAUUACUUCCACAAGAUCGAGUCUUGGCCUAGUCGGCAGCCAAUUCCUUUCUGAUUACUUUUUUUAUGGACAACAUCAUUGACUUAUUACCACCAAACAAUGCAACUGGUGAAACAAGUUUUUUUUAUCAGUCACGUUUUUAUCUAUUCUUUUAUCGUUUUUCAUCUGUUGACAAUACACCAAUAUUUGAUCAUGGCUGUUGUUUCCAUACUCAUAAGUGUGUAACCAAUGUUUGCAGAAAGUUAAUAGAUAUUUCAACUAAUUUA